rnacentral:lncRNA from 1 species
CAUGACCAGCCAUUCAUAAAGGCCAUCUUUCGUCUUAAACGCGGUCUUCCACUCGUCCCCUGGGCGAAUUCUAAUUUGAUGGUACCCACUCUUUAGAUCGAUCUUUGAAAAGAUUGUUGCGCCAACCAUCAUAUCCAGCAUAUCAUCAAGCCUGGGAAUGGGAAAACGAUACUUCACCGUGAUCCUAUUGAUAGCGCGACUAUCCACACACAUUCUCCAAGAUCCAUCCUUUUUGGGCGUCAAUAGGGCGGGGACAGCACAUGGGCUUAAACUCUCACGAAUGAAUCCUUUGUUGAGAAGGUCAUCUACUUGCCUUUGGAGCUCAGCGUGUUCGGUAGGAUUCAUCCUAUAAUGUGGCAAAUUUGGAAGGGAUGCACCGGGGACGAAUUCUAUGGCAUGUUGAAUAUCUCUUAGCGGAGGUAGAUGAUCAGGUAGGUCCUCCGGAAAGACAUCUCGAAACUCCUGAAGGAUCGAUUGGACUUCCGCAGUAUCCUCACUUGUGGAGUUAGAUGAAACCUCCAUGACUACUAAGGCGAACACAAUUGAGUCACCAACAAUUGUACGCUCAAACUCUGUAGGACUAAUGAUAUGCAACCCCUUUUGUUCCACACUUUUCUUCGCUCCUGGUGAGCUAGCCGGCUUUGGGGGUAGUGGGUUAAGGUGAAUCUUCUUUCCAUUAAACACGAAGGAGCAGGAAUUGGAUCGACCAUAUAUGGUUACAUCUAGGUCAAAUAGCCAAGGUCGUCCUAAGAUGAUGUGCCCAACGUCCAUCGAAAUAACGUCACACCAUAUAUGGUCCUUAUACUCCAGGAACUGGAUAGGGACUAAUCAACGUUCCUUAACAGCUAUAGAGGAGGUGUCAACCCAAGAGACACUAUAAGGUUGGGGGUGAGGAACUAGCUUCAACCCUAGACGGGAUAUAGUAGCCUUCGAAACCGCAUUAAUACAGCUGCCACUAUCCACGAUAACUUUACAGCCCUUGUUAUUAAUCUUGAUGUAGGUGUGGAAGAUGGCAUGACGGUGCCAAUUGUUGGCAUCCUUCGGCUGGGUGAGGGUGCAACAGACGACACCGACUCUGGGCGUAUGUGGGAUAAUGGGACUAGCCUGAAUACAACCUAAGAAGGUAUCCUCACUGUCCUCCAAGUCUUCAAACUCUUCUAACUUAGGCUCAUAAACCUGAUCCUCUAGUAGUUCGACGACUAUAUCCUCACGUUCGUCCAGAACUAGGGCUCGGCUAGGGCACUUAGAAGCAAUGUGACCAAAACCCUUACAGUUGAAGCAUUGCGAACGGGAGGAUGUCCUUGAAACCUCAGAACCUCUACCUUUGUUAUCCGAUGCAGGGGAAGUAUUAGAGGGAGGAGGACCUAGAAUAGACCUAGGGGAUGGCGUGGAUGCAGAUGAGGUUGUAGUGCGGGAGUCACUACGAUUUCUAUACGGUGUCCUAGUCACUAAUUCAUAAUCCCGAACGAAAGAGUAGGCGUGGUCGAGAGUGGUGACACCCCUGAGGACAAGCUCGCGCCUAAGUUCGUCUCUUAGCCCUUGCCUAAACCUACUCAAAGUCAUAACUUCAUCCUCAACAACCUGGCACUUCAUUCGAAACUCAUCAAACUGAGCAACAUAUUCGGUCACGGGUCGAUUGCCUUGUGUAAGUGCGUUCCAUUGAUCCAGCAAGUUACCCCUAUAAGAUUGGGGUAAAUAUUUUUCUUGAAGACGGCGCUUCAUUUCAUCCCAACUCCCAACAGGGGGAGCAUGACGCCUUUCAAGGAGGUCCUCAACACUCUCCCAAAAGAGUUGAGCAGUGCCAGUUAACUUCAAACUGGCAAAUUGUACCCUCCGAUCUUCCGGGACCCCAUACCAUGCAAAGAAGCGAUCCAUAUUUCUAACCCAUUGAUUGAAUGCACUAGGAUCUAGAUAACCGUCAAACGUAGGGGCAUCCAACUUAAUGUUUCGAAAGAGGCGCUCCUCGUGGCGAGGGGGAGAUUGUGUACCAUGACGGUAAUACCCCCGCUCUCGUUCCCGAGCCUGAUUCCCUUCCCUACGACCAUGUCGGGCGUGGUGUCGACCACCUUGUGGGCGACGAUGAGGCCGAUUAAUGGAAGCCUCAGAGUUCUGAGCCUCAGUCGAAUAUGGGAGUGGGUCAAGAGUAUUCAACCUAGCGGUUAGGGCUCUAUUCUCUUCACGAGUAGCGGCUACAUCAGUUUGGACAGCUGUUAGUUGAUUUUGUAAUUGUGCAAGCUGUCUGGUGAGGGCCUCAAUUUGGGCGGGGUCCAUGGUUAGGUUACUAGAGCUAGAGGCAGUAACGCGACCACUACGCAAUUGCAUACACAGUAACACGACUACGUAAAGUGCACUACUGAGAUCAAUAAUCAACAAUCAACUAGUGCCAACCGAAAAAUUAGUUAUUGAAAUUAUUAUUAUUUAUUUAUUUAUUUUGUUAUUUUGUCAAUUUAAAGGUUGGGGUUACUUAUGGCUCGAUCGCAAGCUAAUACUACUAAUGCUAAUAAAAUAGAAAAGCAAAUGUCCAAAUACUAGAUCUAGUCACGUGGGGUAAACGAUUGAGUAAUGGAAUUUAGUUCGUGAAAUAUAAUCGAAUAGGUUUAAGGCAGUAUUAUCAAAGGGCUAGUACAUAUCAAUGGAAUUUAGUUCGUGAAAAACAAUCAAAUAGGUUGAAGGCAAUAUUAUCAAAUGGCCAGCACACAACGAAUUAAUUGAUGCAAUUCUAAAAUAAAGAAAUAGCGUCAACUAAAAAUAAAUAGGAUCAGGAACUCCCUGAGUACUGUUGGUUUGAAUCGUCCCAGCGUCGAAUGUCUCCACGUUUUGAACUACUAAGCCCUGAGAUGCCAAGAUAGGAAAUUCCGUGCUCGUCGAGGUGCGGUACUGAACAGUCAACUAAAAUGAACCUGUAAAUGAUAUCAGAAAAUUUAAAAUUCACGAUUCUUUUUUUUUUUUUGGCUCUUUCUUUUCUUUUCUUUUUUUUUUUGACUUUUUUUUUCUCUUUUUUAUUUAUUUAAUAAUAAUACAAAAUCAGAAUAACAAAAUAAUAAAUGAGCCCAUUUCACAAAUGUGGGCCUCAAUUACACUCAAAAUCUCAAUCAAGCCCAAUCCCAAUUGAUAACUAAUAACCCCACCCAUUUAAUUAUUAAACCAAUUAACCCAACACCCAAUGGAUAACUAAUACCCAACCCGCUUAAUUAAUAACCCAAUUAAUAACCCAAUUAACUGAAUUAAUAACCCAGCCCAAACCCAUAAUUCAUUACAGCCGACCGAACGUUGUGGAAGACGGCGACUGGGUUGGUGGCUGGCUCGACGAGGGACUGGGUUAGAAGACGGUGACUGGGUCGGUGGACGACGAUUACUGGAGCGGUCGGCAGUCUGCUGGCGGCGGCGAGACUGGGGUUCCGUUUCGGUAGGUUGCUGGAAGAAAGCGGCUGAAUUUUUCUUGUUUUAUUUCGUUUAUUUUGCUGCAAAAGAUUCUGGAAUGGUUGUUGUCGGUAAAUUUUCAGUUUGUGAGUUGGGAAGGUGGGAGUGGUGGAGGAGACACUGGAUUCUGCUGAGUGGCGGAGUGGAGGUUUGGUCGCGUUAUGGAUUUGGCUUGGUUAAUAUUGGGGGGCGACUGGAGGCUGUAGUGUUCGGGUAUUGAAGAUGAUAGGAGUGGGUUUGGAAUUUUCUGUAUAGUUGGGGUUUUCUGUUUGGAUGUUUGGUCGGGUUUGAGGCGGCGACUGGAGGCUGUAGUACUGUUUUCAACAGUUGAGCAGCAACGGAGUCUGUAUGUUGAUGGUGCGUGAAUUGCUGUCCAGGGUUUGCUCUGAUACCAAUUUGAUGCAGGGAGAUUAAUAAAUCUGUGAAUGACAAGAAUGGAUGGGGGAGGGAAGAGAAGAGGAAUACAGAGGAGGGGAAGAGGGGAAAAACGGCUGCAAGCCAAAUCUUUAAUUAAUCAAAUUCAUCAUUCCAAAUAACAAUGUAAGAUAGGUUUAAAUACUGAAAAAUAAUGCAAACCUAGGGCCAAUUUGACGUUUACUUAUUUUAUUUAAGCUUUAUUUAUUUUCUUGGACUAUUAUUUAAAUUUAGACUUGUAUGGGCUCAGGCCCAAGCUCAUUAGGGUUGUUUUACUAUUUAAACAUAUUUUGCAUUGUAACUUUCAGUUGAUGAUGAAUUAGAACUGAAAUAUUUUUGGUGGCUUGCAGCCGUUUUCUCCCUCCCCUCUCUUCCCCUGGUUUCUUCUCCUCUUCUCCCUUCUCUCUGUUUCUCCUCCCCGUUCCUUCUUCUUUCUUUCUUAUUCAUCCUACAUCAAAUUUGGUAUCAGAGCCGAACCAUGGGUAAUUUCUUUUCUUUAAUCCAAAAUUUAUUCAUAUUUCUUUCCCAAAAUCUGUUGGAACAGCACGAACUAAAAGAAUAUUUGGUACAGGCAGCAGUUUUUUUCUUCUUCUUCAAUUUUCAGUCUUAGGUGAAAAAAAAAACCUGUUCACGGGUACUGUUCACACCCGGAAUUUCAAUUUUUUUUAAUAGAUUUUUCAGUAGUUUCACAAAAAAAAAAAAAAAAAAAUCGUUACUGUUCACGGGUACUGUUCACACCCGAAUUUUUUUAUUUUUAUUUUUUGUUUAUCGUUUUCUACAGUUCCCAAAAAAAAAAGUUGAAAAAAAAAGAUUUUUUUUUUUUUUUUUUUUUUUUUUCAAUACCCAAAAAAAAAAAAAAAAAAAAAAAAGAAAAAGGAAAAAAAAAGUGAAAAAAAGCGAAAAAAAAAGGAAAAAAAAAAGAGAAGAAACGUCUUUUCUAUUAUUUACAGGUACAUCUUUUAUUCUGGUUGAUCUGGCUUGACUACUUCGACGAACGAAAGGGAAGUUCUUGCUUUUAUUUAUUGUUGGUUUACAUUACUGUUUCAUUGUAAAAUUGCAUCAAUUAAAUUUUUGUGCUGCUACUGAUCUAUUUUUAUCUAAACUCACGUAAUUGGAUCCAUUGACCUCGUUAAAUCUCACUUUAACCUGCUUAUUUUACGUGAUUAGGUUUUGACUAGUAUUUGACCAUUGUUUUAUUAUUUUACAUAUAUCAGCAGUGCUAGCUUGUUGUAUAUAAUUUUAGUCCCAAAAUUUAAAUUAAAAAAAAAAAUUAGCUCAAAUUUUCAUUUUCCAUUACUUGCACUUUUUGUUCAUUGAUCUCUCUAUUGCAUGUCAUUAAGUUGCUAUUACAGUGCAUGUAGUUACAUAUUGGUCAUCUUGUCACUUCUAGCUCUAGUACCUUAAACAUGAACCCCUCACAAUUCGAUGCACUCACCCGACAAAUAGUGGCUAAGAGAUGAUCUUAAGCGCGAGCUUUUCCUUCGAGGUGUCACUACUCUUGAUCACGCUUACUCUUUAGCUCGAGAUUAUGAGUUGAUUAUUAAUACUCCUUAUGAAAAGCGUGGUCAUCGUCGCUCACCCAUCUCAUUAGCGUCGCCUCAUCAUAAGUCUAUCAUAAAACCGUCUCCGUCUAAUGUUCCUCCUAUUUGGAAAAAUAAUUGUAAAGGUCGUGAUAGUCCAAGAUCUUCUUUUCCAUGUAGAAAGCAUAUGGACAAUCAUUCUUCGGUGUCAUUGGCUCCAAUUCCUCCCGUUAAUUCCCUUCUAGGACCUCCCUCGUCUAAUAUUCCUCCAAUUUUGAAAAAUAAGAGUAAAAUUUUUUAUAAUCAUCAUUUGGCUUCAUUGGCUCCACCUCCUCUCGUUAAGUCCCUUCUCGGACCUCCCCCUUCUAAUGGUUCUCCAAUCUUGAAAAAUCAGGGUAGAAUUUCUGAAACUCCAAGGUCUUCUUCUCACUUGUUGUGCGUCAACUGUAAAGACUUUGGUCACAUUUCUUCUAAAUGUCCUAAUCGAACCUUAGCCAUGGAAGAACGAAAGAAUGUAAUAGAGGAGCCGUUAGAAGAUCUAGUCUAUGAACCUAAACUUGAAGAUUUUGAUGACUUGGAUGAUAGUGAGGACAUUUCCUUAGGUGGAAUCCAGACUCUUCUUGAGACUUUGGAUACUAUACCCCUUAUCUCCGACAAUUCUCGAUCACAUGUUAUAUGUUAUACCCUUACCCAAGUUAAAGAGCUUGAUGAUGUCACCAGUCACCCUCGAAAAAUCCAGUCGCCUGUGGUUAACACUAAGGCAAAAUUAUCCACCACUGACCAACCUCAAAUUGAUAGUUAAAACAAAAGUGCUAACCAAAAUCCUGACAAUUUAUUACAGUCUCUAGUCCAGAAAAAUCUUGGGAAUUGGGACUUGAUCCCUCCAACCGUUCAAAUUGCAUAUAACGAUCCUGUGAACUGAUCUUUAGGUCUAAAACCCUUUGCAAUUAUUCUUGGUUGUGAAUCUUUGAAACCUCUAGACCUUAUUUCCGUGCACCCACAUGCUUGUGUGUCUAUGUCAGUUGAGGUAGUUGUAUUACAUUUUCAUAGCUUGCAUAUUGAGAUCAAUAAACAAUUUGAAGCAAGUAAAGCAUUAUAUAAACCUCAAGUUAAUUGGCAUAAACAAUACUUUGAAUUUAAUAUUGGGGAUUAUGUUAUAUUGCAAGCGUGUAAUGCUGGUCUUUUUAAAAUUUCAAAGCAUGUUGGUCAAAAUGUCUAUGUCAAUGAUCUUAUAUCACAUUAUGACCAUCACCCUAUUUUAUUUGUUAAGGAUUUCGAUAUUUACAAUGGCUAUUUUAACACUUUUGUUGAUCCUUUUCUAUCUCUACCUGAGAACUCCCACACCGAAUCUUUUGCCAUCUCUAUUCGAAUACCACCUGUCGCAGCACACAAAGAUAAAAUUGAUUUAAUUUUAGAUGAACAGGUUGUGUUAACCAUUGACGGAGAGAAUCAGUGCUUCUUUAAUUGUUGGGUAGAUCAACGUUCUUAUUGUGCUCCACAUUAUGCGCAAUCAUGUGAAGAUUUUGGAGAUGAGUUGCAGGAGUACUUGUUAUUUGGAGUCCAAUGUCGGUACUUGAUUAAAAUGAGGGAUCGUCCGCCUUGGUCGGAUCAUAUUCUUGAGGACAAGUUGCCAUUUGCAUUGUUAUCAACCAUGGAGUUCAGAUAUUUGGUUCUUCAAAAAGAUCGCCCCCGUGGCUUGACUUGAAGCAUUUGGAGUAUCAGAUUUACUACAGCCUAUACUAUCUAUCCACUCGACAGGGUCGAGUUUUCUCCUACCCCGGGAGAGUUGAUGAGGAUAUCGGACGACGUUUACUUAUUUUAUUUAAGCUUUAUUUAUUUUCUUGGACUAUUAUUUAAAUUUGGACUUGUAUGGGCUCAGGCCCAAGCUCAUUAGGGUUGGUUUACUAUUUAAACCUAUUUUGCAUUGUAACUUUCAGUUGAUGAUGAAUUAGAACUGAAAUAUUUUUGGUGGCUUGCAGCCGUUUUCUCCCUCCCCUCUCUUCCCCUGGUUUCUUCUCCUCUUCUCCCUUCUCUCUGUUUCUCCUCCCCGUUCCUUCUUCUUUCUUUCUUAUUCAUCCUACAUCAAAUUAAUUGAUGAGGACAUCCAAUUUUAAUUAAUUUUAGCAAUUUUAAUUAUUUUAGUUGGAAUUUAGGUUAUUUUAAUUUUAUGGACUUUUGUAUUGGGCUUGGCCAUAGGUUUGCAUUAUUUUCAGUAUUUAAACCUAUCUUACAUUGUUAUUUGGGAUGAUGAAUUUGAUUAAUUAAAGAUUUGGCUUGCAGCCGUUUUUCCCCUCUUCCCCUCCUCUGUAUUCCUCUUCUCUUCCCUCCCCCAUCCCUUUUUGUUAUUCACAGAUUUAUUAAUCUCCCUGCAUCAAUUUAUGGCAAACUUAUGAAAAACUGAUAAACAAGAAGUUCAAAUUAAUAAGUAAUAAAAGAAUGCUAAAAUUGAAUUUAUUAAUCUCCAAUUUAAUUUCCAUUUUUAGACAUAAAUUUAAUUAAAAAAAAAUUUGAUGUCACUUAACUCGUCUUGCUUGCAUAAUUUAAUUAAUAUAAAAAUAUGACGAUUUUUUAGGGUUUAUAGUGAGUCUCUAAAUAAAUUUUUAUGAAAAUAAAAAUAAAAAUGGUAAAUAAAAAUGAAAUUCAAAAAUUUUUAAUCAAGCUAUUCUUGAUAUUGUUGGUAAAUAUAAACGGAUAACUUAUCUGGCAGAGAAAGCCUUUUUUUGAAAAACAAAGUGUUACGUUUCUGAUUCCCUUGGACAAAAAACCAAUCAAAAGUCUGGCAGUCAGCCCAAGUUAUCAUUUUGUCUUUUGGAUCUCAGUGUUUGAGGCCCAUUCUAAAAGCAUGACUUCAGUAAGGCUUUAUGUUUAGUAAUUUACACAAAUAGCACAGAUGUGAUAUAAAACUUAUCUGUUAGCUGUCUUUUAUAAACUUUCACUGACAGUCUUUUAUAAACUUUCACCUUUGUCCACUUGGGGGAAUCUCGAACCCUCUGUUCCUUCCUUCUAUAAAUACCUAGGAAUCCCACAAGCUCUAGUAUCCCUCAGAAAUACAUUGCUAAUUCUAUUUCUGAUUUCUCUCUCCAUUGUUCACGCUUUAAUGGCUCAUUCAAAAGUAAUCCUUUUUUUCCUUGUCCUCCUCAUAAUUUUCUCCUUGCAAAUUCAACCCAUCGAGGGAAGAAAUUUAAAGUUGAAGGUCACAAUUGAUAUAAAUGCUUACUCUUCAACAAAUAUCCUGAACACAAAUGUGGCUGCAACUGUGCCACCGCCACCAGCGAUUCCAGUUUCACCUGACUCUCGGCCACCGCCACCAGGCCACGUGAAUGACUUCAGGCCCACAUCACCAAUUCACAGCCCUGGGAUUGGACACUCUUCAUAUGUAACUAGGGUUAGAACAUAGCUAUUCACUAUUCACUUUGCAUGUUUAUGUAAUAUGCCAAUUAUGUAUGUAUUAUGUGUGUAUUGAUUGUUUCCCUAGUAUUUUAUUGAUUGCAUAUAUGUGAUUAGAAUUCAAUUUUGUUAUAUAAAAACUCAAAAAAUACACCAAGUAUUUACAAAUAUCACAGAGAGAAAUUAACCAAGAAACUGGACAAACGACUUCAAGGUUCGAUCAACGUUUGGGCUCAGAAAGAAUCAUUGUACCCUUUUGUACAAUAGUAAAAACACCAACACAAACCUAAACCUACAAAAGGAAUCCGAAUGCAGCUACUUCGACGAGCCAAAAUGGAAAACCCCUAAACUGACUUCAUUAUCUCCUUUAAGAAAGGAUCACUAAGAUUUACUGUUCACACAGAAAGAACAGAUUUCCAAAUCACAGAGAUCAUGGAAAAAAUCACGAAGAAGACGAAGGAGUAGAGAAGCAUAGAAAAGGACUCGAUUUUAGAGAGUUCAAGAGACACCAGAAAAAUAUCACUGUCAACUAGGGCAACCACCAAUGGCCCUUAUAUUGAAAGCAAUAUCACGUAGAUCAGUUAGGGGUCCAAUGGCUCGGAGUAGCACACGUGGCCUCAUGUUGGGCUCGAGUAGUUGGGCCUCUACCUUUGAAUUAUCGGGCAAUGAAAAUAUAAUACCAGCAAUGGGCUAAGCCCUUUUCAUCACAACCCAAUUGUUUGAAUUGGAUUUGGCAUCACAAUCCAAACAAAUUUGUAUGCCAAGUAUGUACGUAUUGAUUAUAUAUUUCCCUUGUAUUCCAAUUAUCAAAUAUAUGAUCAGCAUUCAAUUUGAAUUGCUUGUUUGAAUUUCUAAAAUUUUGAUAUCAUAUUGAAUCUUGUAUUUGUGAGAAGCACACGUCCUUGUUACCACAGUUUCUCACCCUAAUUUUAAUCGCAAGUCUUCACCCUAAUUUUAAGGAAUUGUCAUUUUUCCAAAGAAAAAGGAAAAUGACUAAAGGAGUGAUUACUCGUUAAUUUCCAAUUCCGAGGGACAAAGUAGAGUUUCUACCUCUAAAGGAGUGAUUACUCGUUAAUUUCCAAUUUAUGGUUUUUAUUCGUUUGGCCAUUAAAAGGUCAUAUGCAAAUUGCAAUGCAUGUGGAGCAUUGUUGUCGGGAAUGGGAGGAGACAACUAAAAUUGAUUUUAGCUAUAAGUUUUGAAGUAUUAAUUCCUUUUGCAAUUUUUUGACUACUUAUGUAUUUAACCUUUUAGCCGCCGUUCGUAAAAAAUUAUAAAUAGUCAAACUUUAUUUUUAUUUAUUUUAAAUUAAUCCAUUCAUAAAUUCUUUCCAAAUGGGGAGUAAUGCAAUAUUAAAAUGAGCAAUAACAAAUGAAGCUUCUCAUCUAAUUAAUUUUUUCCUAUACUUUUUUCAACUGUAAACUCAACAAUAAAAUUAUAUAGAAAGUCGAGGACCAUUAUGAUUGAAAAGGCGAAGGGAAUAUGAACAAUGUUAGGUGUACACCCCGACUAAUAGGCUUCUAGCAGGGGAUGGGGCCCGCAAUUAUAUGUGUACUGUGUAAACCUAAGGGUGUACACUUAGCAUUUUUCAAGGGAAUAUUCUUGUUCACUAUGAAACCACUCCUUUUUAAUUAGACAAUAAAUUAUUUAUUAAUUAAGCAUAUAGUGCGCUACAGUCUAGCAUAGCAUAGAAAGAAUAUGAUAGUUUUUAUUUAGGAAUAAUGCUUUUUGCAAUCACUUACUAUCAUAGUUGUCUUACGUGGCAUAUAUGCGACGAUUAAUGAUUUAAUGUAUGACAAUAAAAAACCAACACAUUAAUGCAUCAAAUUACUAUCGCUACAUGUAUGUCACUUAGGAUGAUUACGAUAGUGAGCAAUUGCAUGUAUCAUUACUCUAUAUUCAACGAAAAAUUAAAUAUAUGUUCUCUUUCAUUUUCAAAGUUGGUGGAAGGUGUACUUACCAGGAGCCAACCAGGAAAUAUAUACAUUAAUCACCUUUUCAAUUGGAAUGGAGGGCUAUGGCAUGGCACUUUAAACCUCAUCAUUUGUUUCAUUUGACCAAUAUUUGUGUCAAAUAUGAAGUCCCACGUACUAAAAUGUUAAACAUUAGAUAAUACCUUGGUCACGUCGGCCAUUUUUUAUGGUCUCUAUGAAUUCCAUUAGUUUUUCAUUUGUUCACGAAGCAGCAAGAUUAUUUAUUUAGUUAUUUCUAUUAUAGGUACAAAAAUUUAUUGGUACUGCAAAAAGAGACCAUUUUAUCGAUCUAUCAGUGGAAUAUUCUCAAUAUAUGAUUCAGCACACCAUUUAUAAACUAAACUUAAACCACAAGACAGAUGGGUUUUCACUAAAAAUUGUUUGCCGAAAGUGUUUGAAAUGCGAGCCAUCCACAUUAAUUAUAAGUAGACAUAAUUAAGUGGAGCAACAUUAAUUUACCAAAAUCAUAGAAUAAUUACCACCCCUGAAAACACAGUAAACAUCAAAGGAUCAUAGUACAUUCAAUAUUAAAUAGCAUUAUUCUAAUUAAUUUGGUCCUUCUACUAUUUUAUGUGCACCGACACUCACCUCUUUUCAGUCCAAAUGCACUCUCUUUUAGGGUUGACCUCGAAAAAUACAGAGACAUUCUGAUAUUAAAAAAAAAAAAAAAAAAGUGAAAUCAGAACCAUCUAUAGUACAACAUUAGGGAUACUCUUUGUUUUUUAAGUUUUCAUCAGGGACUUUAAUGAUUAUGAACUUUCAAUGGUUAAGAUCUUUACAUGAUGUGAUAUCCAAGGCUAUAAAUAACAAGACAAUUCAGAAAUCGAAACAUUCAGCUCAAAAACAGCAAAUCUCUCCCCUCUAAAAUCAAACAUAAAUUACAGCAGUUAGAAUUACAGUUGCAUACCCACUUCCCUUUCAUGGCCUACAUACAAAAUAUCUCGAUGUUGCUUUUCCUUCUUGCUGGUUUUUCCUGCCUUCAACUUUCACUAAUCGAGGCAAGGCAACUUAAACCGCUCAAUGAACAAGAAAAACACGACUUCUCAGCUACUCUUCCUGCCAACGCUUCUCCUCAAAUUGUAGGACAAAAGCGCAUUCCCUCGCCAACGAAUCAAGAACACGAAAUCGACAGUUCGGAUGCAAGGUGUGUAAAUGAUUUUCGACCUACAGCAUCAGGAAGUAGUCCUGGAAUUGGUCACUCUUUUCCAUCCCAAAAGAAAAAAGUUCACAGAAAGACUGAUGAUCUUCGACCCACAGGACCCGGUCACAGUCCCGGUAUUGGUCAUUCUUUUGCAAACAAGACCAAAGGACCAAAUGCUUAAAACAUUCACAUGCAGAAGUAGAUUUAUCAUCGCUAGCUUGUAAUUAUAAUGGAUUUCUAUUAGCAGCGGUCAUAGGUGCAUUAUUAAUUAUUUUCAAUAUUCCUCAAAUAGUUUCGUGAGCUUCAUUUCAGGUGAUUCUGUUCUACGUAUAAUGUAGAAAUCGUGUUAUAGCCAAUUUAUCUAUCUAUAUGAAUGAAUUAUUUAUGCAUAAUCUCUCUAUCUCUCUAUAUUUAUUAUGUUUCAAGUUUCCAUGCGUAUGUACACAUUCGCUUAUGUUUGCAUGUUGUUAGAAAUGUUACACAAAUUGGCAACAGAAAAUGAUGAGGAUCGAAGGAGCACUCGACACCCCACAAGUCUUCUCUUCCACUACAACUUUACUAUCUGUAAAUGUUGAGAACUUCUUUAAACUCAUCUCUCAUUAAUUCUCAUCUAUUAAAUACAUCCCAUCAAAUCCAAGCAAAACAACAGAAGCAAAAAAUUUCAUACCAAAAUUGACAAAUAAGUUCAAGAAUAGAUUGAUCAUUUCACCAAUGAAGACCUUGUCCUCACCAAAUACAUCACAUCAAAUCCAAGAAGUAUAAAAAAAAUUAAAACAAAAUUAACAAAUGAAUUUGUUGCCUGGUGAAAGUCCAAUCCUCUCAUUCAUGGUUGGAUCAUCGCAACAUUUUGAAGGAACCCUCGAACUUGUUAUAGGCUAAGACACAACCCAUGCAACAUGGGAAGCUUGAAAUGCUACAUACACAUGAGACAUAUUUUCACAAGAUUGAAGAUAAAAAAUUUUGUUGGCUUCGUUGUCAAACUAUUGUCCAUAGUAGCUCUCAAUUUUUCAAACCGAACUAUGCCUUCAACACAGCACAAUUUGUGGGAGGAUGUUACAAACUUCACACAAUUUGGCAACAAAAAUAACAAGGAUCAAAGAAGUUUGAAGGAGACCAUAAAAUCUUGAACUGGUAAAAUUGUCAAAUUCAAACCAAAGGAUAAAUGCAAAGUUAUUAAUUUGAUAUUUGAUUGUUGUCAGGAAUCUAAGAGUUUGAGUCAGCACGGACGGCCGUUGACCAUCUACCAUUGGCCGCAAUAAAAUAUUAAAAGUUAUUUUUGUAUACUUUUUUUUAUUUUUUGCAAAAAUGCAUUUUGGAAUGGUGAUUUGAUGGAGAACGUCUAAACGUGUGACUAAAAAUAAAGAAAUUUUUUGAAUUUACGUAUAAUAUUAUUUUAUUGAAGAAUAUAUGGAUGAAAAGAAGAAAGAAAAAUGUAGUUUUAAAAAAAGGGAAAAUCGAAUAAGGCUUAAAGUAUAAAUAUAACAAUUAUUUUGUUCAAAGUGAAUAUAUAUAAUUCUGUUAUAAGAAUAAAUAGAACUCAUCAAAUAACAUUGUUGCUAGUAUAAUUCAAAGGAAGAGUGUGAAUUCAAAUAUUUAAAAUUGUUUGCAUUAAAACAAUCAAAACCUAACAAAUAUCAAUUUGUUAAAUUUAGAAACACAAUUCAAGAGGUACCAUAAUGGUUAAAUUUGCCACAACCCUUACUUGAGAUCAUGGGUUCAAAUCCUCAUUGUCCCUCCCUUAUUGAAUUUUGGUAAAAAUUAUAGAAUAAAAAUAAUAAAUAACAAAUCCAUUGACAAAGAUUCAAACCUAAGACUUGAAAUAUAUUAAGGUUGGCUCUCACCAAGUAAGCUACAUGAAUGUUUGAAAAUAAAAUCAAUUACCAACAAUAUAAUGUAAAAAAUUAAUCUAUUACUAAAAAAAUAAUAAUAUAUCUCGACGGAUCCAGCUAGGGCGGCCAGCUAGUGAUUGUUGUUAUCUAUUUUUUGAAUAACACUAGCUACAAUAAUAAUGGAGAGUUGUUAAACUUAUUUUAUUAUAGAUAGGAAUAUUGUAUGUCAGGCGCUCAUGGCCUAUGGUCAUUUGUCAAUAAUAUUACAAUCAAGUUUUUAUUUAUUUUCAAUAUUUUUUUCAUAUUUUCUUCUCAUGUUAUUUUAUUAAUUAGUUAACAUGCAGAAGUAUAGUCCAGUGAUCGGAAAAAAAAAGAAGCAAAAUUAAAUCACUAUUGUUGUAUUAUGGAAUAUUAAGUUGACGGAAAAUGUAUGGUUAAAGAAGAAGGAUUUUUUUUGAUUUGCGUGAAAUAUUAUUUUAAUGAAAAAUAUUUAAUUGAAAAUGAGUACUAUAAAAAAAAAUAAUAAAAAAAAAUGGGGCUUAAAGAGGAGCUUAAUGAAUCAUGACCAUAUUGUACUUUCUGGUUUUUUGCCCUUUAUAAAUAUGUAUCAUGACCACUUUCCUCCGUCUCAAGUAAGGGUUUUAUGAAUAAAAUGUUUAAUGAGCUGUUUAAAAAAAAAUAAAAAAUAUGUAUCAUGACCACCGUUAAUUUUUUAUUAUUUUAUUAUUUUUGCAUUAUUCUCUAGACAUAUAGCGCAACUCGGUUUUUGUUUUUGUUUUUUCCCCCUCAAAACAAAAGAUUGUAAAGAAAAGACAAUAUUAUUGCUCGCACCUUAACAAAUUAAUUCUUGGCGACUCGCUAUAUUCAAGAGCUAAUGGAGGGCAGGCGCAACAAAUAGAAGGAAAAUUCUACUUGUACAUAAUUAUUGCACAUAAUGGUGUAUGUGACAAUCAUCCAAUUGUUGAUUUGCAAGUGUGAGAUUUAAAUUAAAAGUUGGAUCUAAUGCCACGUGCAUUAUGGACAUCAUUAUAUAGAUAAUUAUGUAUAUGUAGCACUUUCUCAAAUAGAAAUGAGUCAUUUAUUUAAAAGAAUAAACCUUCGAGAGGCAAACAGUUCAUAAAUGAUUUAAAAAUUCAAUUAAAGUCAAAUAUUAGUUUCAACAACACAUUCAUAACUAUUACACAUUAAUUAUUAACACAUUAAAAUACAACUAGGCAAAAAUAUGAUAAACCUUUAUGCAAAGAAAAUAUUUGCAUUUACCGAUAAAAAAAGAAAAUAUUUGCAUAAUCUAGGUUCUAAAUACAAAGAACUCAUAAGCGGCUGUGAAACACUUCAGAAAGAAAAAUUAUUUUGCCAGAUUAAUACUCAUUAUUAUUACCAAGAUUUUUUUUUCUGUAGUAUUAUAAUUAAUUAUUGAAAGGUGAUUACGAGCCAAAAUAAAAUGAUAAAUCACUGAACAUUUAUUUUGCAUCGAAAGUCAACUCUUGACUUGGACAUAUAGAUUUUCGUCUCCAAAUUUGAUAAUUUUAUUAUUAGUUAUUUAAAAUAUUAAAAAGAACUGCUAAGAUCAAAGCUAGAUUAAAAAUUUUGUUCACCCCACAACACAAACACUACAACUAAAAGGCAACCUGAAAGUUUCUUAUUUUCUUUAAAGGUAACUUGGAAGAUCUAUAUAUAAUGAUGAUGGUAUUUUUUACCCUUCUUUAUGAGUCGAUCACAUCUCACAUAGUCUACUUUUACAAUGAAUAAUGUUACUUGUACAUAAAUGAGUUAUAUAAUGACCUACAUACAUAUUAGGUAUCAAAAAAAGAGUGAAAUUUUUUAUUUAGUUGAAGAAAUUCUGUCAUAAUCACAUAUCACUACAUCACGUGUAUAUAAAUCAUAUAUAAACUAUUAUAUACAUGUAGUACAACUGCUUUUAAAAUUAUGCAUGAUUGUUUAAUGAUAAAACUAUACAUAUUUUCCACUUUUUAGACUCUAAAAAGCUUUCCUGAAAUAUGCCAAAUUGGAAUCAUAGUCAAAACCCAAAUUUUGAACCAUGAUGUUGAUGGAGAAAAUAAUAAAACAUAUAACUAAAAGGUCAAAAGAAAAAAAGAGUAAAGUAGAAUAAACAGAAGUUAAAUAAGGUUUCCUAAAUGAGGCAAAAAUUGCAGCCCUUGCCCUAGCUAGGUUUAAAAAAAAAAAAAAAAGAAAAGAUAAUCCCACUUUUAAAAUAUUGAGAAAUAGCCCAUCAACCUGCCACCUUUCCCCUUGUGCAUGUAACUGCGCAUGCCUCCAGCUAAGAUUCGAUCAUUUUAAAGGAGUGAGUGAGUUCUCUCCUACCAAUAUCAAUAAUUUAACUGUUUUGCUCGUGUAUGUGAAAAUAAAAAGAUCUUUAAGAGGUAUUUUCUAAGUUCGAGUGAGAAUACUUGAGUUCUUCUAAUAACUAAAAAGUGUAGCAUUUAGUGAACUAUUGAAUAACCAACGUUGGCAACUCAAAAAAAUUUAUAGUUCAAUGAUAAUUAAAAAAGUUAAGUACAAUUGAAAUAUAUAUAUAUAUACAUAUAUACCGUUUUACACCUUUGUCACCACUAACCAUGAACCAACAAAUAAAGCAUUUUUUUUGCCUUCUUUUAUUUAUUGAAAAAGGCCAAGAUUCACAUGCCCAUUUAUAUUAAACGUAGGUUUCAUAGGGCAGGACUACAGCUGUGCCAUUUCUUAUAUAUGCAAGUUAAAUUAAGCUUACCAAGUUAGCCAUCAAAAGCAUCUCUUUCUGGCUGCUGGCAUUGACACCCCACCACACUAGACGCAUAUUGCUAAUAAAUGGAUUUUUUUUGUUCAUCCUUCACUUUUCACCAAUUAAAAAUUUGCAGAGAUAAUAUAAAGUUUUAUGGAGGAUUCACAGCCCUUGACUGGCAAUUGGAAUAGUAUUAAUCAGCCGCAAAAUGGAGAAUCUCAAAGAAUCUUGUCGGGUAUCCCAGUUGUCUCUAUUGAUUCUUGAAGAAUAUGCCACGAGGGGCUGGGAAUUAUUAUGUUCAACUGUGUCUUACAAUAUUCAGAGAAGAGUAAUGCUAUUCGUAGUUGUUUACUGCGGUAGUCGCUUUACGUGGCAUACACAUGAUAUGUAAUUAUUUGAUACAUUAAUAUGGUAGUUUUUUUAUUUAUUAAUGCAUCAAAUAACCAUCUGCCACGUGUAUGCCACGUAGGGCGACUGCUGUAAUGAGCGAUUGCAAAUAACAUUAUUCUUCAGAGAAUCAUGUUAUGUUGCCUGAAUUUUUUUUGAUAUAAUGAUUGAUCAAUACUCACAAUGGGAGAUGACCUACUUCUUUUUUAGACUUUUUUAUUUCGUGGGAUUCAUGCGCACGUGAGAUGAUAUCAAUCAUUAUGUAAAAAAAAAUUCGGACAAAGUAGUUUAAUUCAUAUUCAUAACAAAUAGUUAGCUGUUUCCUCUAAAUUGUGUACUUUCAUCAAAUUGCAUGCCAAUUACUUCUGCAAUUCUUGUGUAUAAGAUUUACAAAGAAAAUGAUUCAAUUUAUAGAGGUAUAACAAUUCAUUUUUUGACCAUUCAUUCAAAACUAUAAGCUAAAAUUUAUUUUCCCCCCAUUAAAAUGGAAUGACACUUUGAUUGCACCACCAUAGAGAUGAUACAAGACCUUCCAUGAAAGCCAUUUCGGUGGUGAAUGGAAUUUGCAGAGAUGAUUUGGACAUUCUGUGUGUUGAACUAUAUAUUCUUAACUAUUCAAAGAUGAUAAAUUUAUUUAUUAUUCUAUUUUAAAAACAAACUCUGUGGAUGUGAAUUUUUCAUAAAAUCCUUCUCCGUUUUUGUACCAUCUUGAACUACUUCAUAUAAAAAUUUAAAUUUUAAAAAAGUAAAAAAUAUUCCAAUUAUUUUGUGUGUCUUGACCGGUAAUUGGAAUUGUAUAAAUCAGCCGCAAAAUGGAUAAUCUCAAAGAAUCUUGUCGGGUAUCCCAAUUGUCUUUGUUGAUUCUUGAAGAAUAUGCCACAAGGGGCCAGGAAUUAAUAUGUUCAAUUGUGUCUUACCAUAUUCAUAACAAAUAGUUAGCCGUUUCCUCUGAAUUGUGUACUUUUCAUCAAAUUGCAUGUCAAUUACUUUUAUAAUUCUUGUGUAUAAGAUUUACAAAGAAAAUGAUUCAAUGUAUAGAGGUAUAACAAUUCAUUUUUUGACAAUUCGUUAGAAACUGUAUGCUAAAAAAUGGAAUGACGCUUUGAUUGCACCACCAUAGAGAUAAUACAAGACCUUCCAUGAAAGCCUUUUUGGAGGUGAAUGGAAUUUGCAGAAAUGAUUUGGACAUUCUGUGCGUUGAACUAUAUAUUCUUAACUAAUCAAAGGUGAUAAAUUUAUUUAUUAUUCUAUUUUAAACAAACUUUGUGGAUGUGAAUUUUUCAUAAGAUGCUUCUCAGUUUUAAUAUCAUCUUCAACCACUUCAUAUAAAAAUUUGAUUUUUAAAAAGCGAAAAAUCUUGAACUACGGUGUUUAAUUAUUGUUUAUCGAGGACCAUUAUGAUUGAAAAGGCAACGGGAAUAUUAUGAAACCACCGCCCUUCUAAUUAGACAAUAUAUUAUUUAUUAAUUAAGCAUGAUCACGCUCUAUAGCCUAGCCUAGCACUAAAUUUUUAUUCAGUGUAAGAGAUGUUCUCUUUCACUUUCAAAGUUGGUGGAAGGCGUACUUCCGCAACUCCAGGAGCCAACCAGAAUAUAUAUAUAUUAAUCACCCUUAAAAAUGGAAUGGAGGUCUGUGGUACGGCAAUUUAAACCUCAUCAUUUGUUUAAUUUGACUAAUAUUUUUAUCAAAUGUGAAGUCCCACAUACUAUAAUGUUAAAUUUAUUAUUUUACAAACUGCUUUCCCCGGACCCUCGGGGAUUUGCUUUAUUUUAGAUUUUUUAAAUACAAAUACUGAUUAUUCUGUAAAUUUCUCUAAAAUAAGAAUUUUUUGCCUUAUGAAUUGAAUAUGGAAUUGGAUAUGGAAGGGGACAACAAAGAGCUUGUUUCACAUUCUACAUUGAAUAUGGCAAGAGUGAGUGAGGUUAGAGUGGAUGCACCAAGUUUCUAUCCGAGCACAAGAGAAUAUGCUGGGGUCGAUUUUAGAUACAUUUAUGAAGUUAGGAUGAAGUUAUGGACUUUCCUAAUUUAUAGUAUACUAUAUAUUUAGAAUUUUUUUCUUAAGUGGAGAGUUCGAAAGUAAUCAUAAGUUACAAAGAGAUACAUGAGGAGGAGUACAAAGAUGGAGCUAGAUUGAUAUAUCUUUUUUUUUUUUUUUCCUGUCUUAGGAAUUUAUUUUUUUCCCAAAGGAAUCGUGAUAUCUUUUAACGGGAUUGAGGGUCUCUUUAUUAGUUCCUAAGGCCUUGAUAUACAUCACUCCAUCUGAAUUAAGUGUGCGAUAAUGCGAGUUUGAAAAUGUUUUUCUAUAAAACAUUUGAAUUUAUAAAAAACGUGUCUAACUUGAGAUUUUCACUUGAAUGUGUAAAAUCAGGUGUAUUUUCAAAAAAUAACCAACAAUUAAAAUUAUCAAAUGAUAUAAUUGCUGCAAGAUCCCAAAGAUCUAUGCAUAAAAACUCAAGCGGUCAUGUACUAGACAAAGCCGAGGACCAAAAGAAAUGCAGUGGCUUUUAUUGCAAGACGUCGUUGGACUUUGAUUCAGUUUAAUUACAUAGGUCAAACUUUCAUUAAUCUUCUAAAAAAUGUUCUAUUAGUUCGAUCAUCAAGAAAAUAACUAUUGCCACCACUCUUAGUGGCAGAAUCUGGCGGACCCGUCAUUCGCAACAGAAAGAAUCCAAUAUAAAUGCACAAAAGUACACAUGAUAAUACAAUAAUAAUUGGGUCAAAUAUCUAUGUGCUGUUAAUCACAGCCGUCCACUCAAACUACUUCCUCUUUCCUGAAGCGGCUGAUUCUCUCGCCUUGCAAAUGUAUGCUGCCUUUGGUACAUUUUACCUUUUAUAGAAAUUAUAAUAUUAAUUUCUGGUCUCACUGCAAGUACAUUGUUUUAGCCUCAUUUGAUAACAAUUUUUCACUUUAAAAAAUUAAUUUUUUGACUGUUAUUUUAUUAUUUCAGUCUUCAUUUUUGAAUUCUUCACUCACAGGUUAGAUCCACUUUUUUCUCUAACAAUAAAAAAAUCAAUUCUCAUAAUCACUACCGAAUAUAUUCUUAAUUUAUUCUAUAAUAAUUAAACUGAAUAAUAUCAAUUUUACCUGCAUCUUUUUUCACGGUUAUGCAAUCAUUAUGUGACAUAGAAGUUACAAUUAUACAUGCCCCUCAUUUUAGUAGGAAGUGAGUUCCACUCUUUAUUUGAAAUAGAAUAAACUUGAGAUUUUGAGUGAUGACACUUUAUACCUGAAUAAACAAUUUAUACCCGCAUAAAUGUGGUACCAUAUAAAAAAAACGAAUGAAAAGCAGACCAAAGCACUGUCCAAUCCAGUCCAUCCAUUAGAUACUACCUUGGUCAGGUUGGCCAUUCGUUAAUUACCAACCCUGAAAGCACAUAAAUAGUGAAGUAACAUUUGAGAACAAUGAAGGGUCAUCGUAGAGUCGAAGUUAAUAAAUCUGGUCCUUUUACUAUGUUAUGUGCACGAACAUUCACUUCUUUCCUUUACAGAUGCAUCCUCUUUUGGGGGUGACAAAAUACAAAGAAGAAAAAUGAAAUAGUAUGAUAGCAUAAAACUAAAUAAACAAACAGAUGUAUAAAGACAUACAAAUCUUACAUGAUUCUCUUCUUAGCCCACAUGCAACGACCUCCCAAAAAAUAAAAUAAUAAUUCUAAGCACCAAUACUUAGCUUAUGUUAAGCACCGGUGACAUAACACACCAUUUAAUUAGUAAUUCAUUAAAUUUAUGGGACGUAAGUGUUUGAGUUAAUUAUCAUAGUAAGAGCUGGCUAGGGAGCUGAUCACAAUUGCUAGUCAUGCAGUCUACAAAGAGAAUCCUCGAUAUCUUGUUCGAUUUAGGCCUCAUAUAAGACAUUAUCUUUGGUCAAAUAGGUUGUUAACAAGUAUGAUCAUUCCAGGUCUAAUAAGUCCCAUGUGAGUUUAUUCAUAUACACUCUUUUAUAGAUUGAUCCGAACUUUCAGAAAUGAGCACUUGGACAUGAUAAGGGUCAAGGCCAUAUAAUAACGAGGAUCAUGAUUAGGGUGAAUUAAGUGUAGUACAAUUAGUAUACCUCGUUUCUCUAAAAUAUAGAAAGCUUGUUGUUUUACACCCUUAGCCGGAGGUCAGAUCAAGCCUCCUGCUAAGCAUGCACUAUAUUUGUAUUUUUAUUGACAAAACAUGCCUCCAUGACAUGCUUACUUGAGUGCUCAAGGAAUCUCAUCUAUUUGAAUUUUUCUUCUUACACAAGAAAUCUGAAACCAAAUUAAAAAAUAAAAGGUUAAACCAGAACCAUCCAUAGAACAACACUAUGGACAUUUUUUUAAUUUUUUAUUUUCAUCGGGGACUUUUGACGAUCAUGAACUAAUUUCAAUGGUUAAGAUCUUUACAUGAUGUGAUAAUCAAGGCUAUAAAUACCAAGACAAUUGUUGAAAUCGUAACAUUCAGCUCCAAGACAACAAAUCUCUCUCUCUCUCUCUCUCUCUCUCUCUCUCCCUCCCUCCCCCCUAAACACACACAAAUUAAAGCGGCAAAGAAUUCCAUUUGCUAAUUUCAUGGCCUACAUACAAAGUAUCUCGAAAUUGCUGAUCCUUCUUGCAGGUUUUUCCUGCCUUCAUAUUCCCUUCACCAAGGCAAGGCAAUUUAAACCACUCUAUAAACAAGAAAAACAUCAUUUCCCAGCUACUCUUCCUGCCAAUGCUUCCCCUCAUGUUGUAGGACAAAAAUACAUCCCCCCACAAACGAAUCAAAAACUCGAAAUCGACAGUUCAGGUGCAAAGGAUGUAAAUGUUUUUAUACCCAUAGAACUAGGAAACAGUCCUGGAACUGGUCACUCUUUUCCAUCCCCGAAGGAAAACGUUCAAGGAAAGAUUGAUGAUGUUGGACAUACAGAAUCCGGUCCGAGUCCUGGUAUAGGUCAUUCUUUUGCAAACAAGACCAAAGGACCAAAUGCAUAAACAUUCACACGUAUAAGUAGAUUUAUCAUCGCUAGCUUGUAAUUGUAAUGGAAUCUAUUAGUAGUGGUUGCAGGUGCAUUGUUAGUUAUUUUCGAUAUUCCUUUCAAAUAGUUUCGUGAGCUUCAUUUCAGGGGAUUCUGUUCCAUUUAUAAUGCAGACAACGUAUUAUAGCCAAUUUUUCUAUCUAUAUUUAUUAUAUUACAAGUUUCUCAAUGCAUACUUUCACAUCCUUCUGUCUGCAUGUUAUUGUGUUAAUAAGUUAAAAUGCAGAAGUACAAACCAGUGACAAUAAGAAAAAGUAUUAAUGAAUCAUGUUGGAAUAUGGAAGCGAAAUUAUCCAGAAAUUGAAAUUUUCUUUAAUUCAAUAAAAAAGAUCGUCAAGAUAUUCAGGUGUAUGUUAUAUAAAAAAAUAAAGGAUUCAGAUUUUUACCUAAAUUUGAUGAUCAAUGUUUGAAUUAAUUCUGAAUCACAGACUUCCAGAUUUUUGGAUCACGAACUUCCACAUUUUUAAUUAAAAGAACUUGAUACUUCAAAUCUCCAAUGUUCUAUCUCCAAAGUCAAGACUAUACCGGUGUGUGGGCACAUUCUUUUAAUUAAAUCAAGAAACUAAUUUUUGAACUGAACAAUUGGAAAAUCAAGAAAAAUAAUUUUUUCUCUCUCUUUUUUCUCUCUCUAGAAAUUGAAUAUACUAUGGAAUAAUGUGUUAUGAAUGUUGUACAAUUUUGUAGCAUGUCUAUGUUCCAUCUAAUCUCUAUUUAUAGAGAUAGAAAAGUUUCAAUCCUUAUACAAUAAUAAUUCCACAUUCAAAUAGGAGCUCUAAUUAAAAUCUGAAUCCAAUUAGUUUACCUUUAACUACAAUUGUAGUCCUAGAACUUCAAUUAUAAUUAUAAUAAGUUUAGUAAUUACAACUAAGUACAAAACUUUAUUGUAAUUACAAUUAAGCCCAAAACUAUUAUAAUUAUCAUAGUUAAAUUCCAAUACUUUAUGAAGCUAUCAUAGGGAUCUGAUCGGACAUAUAUUAUUUAAGUUCCAAUAAUUAGAUCAUGUCUAGUGAAUCAUAGACCCCCAAUCUAAUUAUUAGUUUUUGCUUUUUCACUAAAGACAAAAGACCGAACUCUUGGAAUAUAUAAGAUACAUAAGCCAAUAAAUCUGUAACACUUUUCUUUGACUUGUCGCAUAUGUAUUUUCCUUAUCCAAGAUCCGAUAAUUAAGUAUGAGCAUAAAUGACCAUUUUGCCUUUUAAUUAUUCUCAUUAGCUUAAUUUUUAUUUUCUUCAACGGUCCUGUGAACUAAUCACAAAUGUCAAAAUUUAGCUAUCACUAAACACUAAGCUCAAAUUUUAACUGUUCAACAGUAAAUAUUUAAGUAGUCACUCUAUCCAUGUUUUAGGGUGAUGGUUCUCGACACGAAUUCAUAUUCUCUACUUCGCUCAUUCUCAAGUUCCCAACUCAUUGAAAUAUUUGACCAAUCAAAUUAAUCUCGUCCAUUGAUGUAAAAUCACGAAAAGAUAUAUAUAACCACAUCAAGGGAUUUAGAUGAAAUACA